ensembl:misc_RNA Metazoa_SRP Metazoan signal recognition particle RNA
GCUGGGUGCAGUAGUGUGUGCCUAUAGUCCUAGCUACUCGGGAGGCUGAGGCUCGAGGAUCGCUUGAGUCCAGGAGUUCUGGGCCGUCAUGCACUAUGCUGAUCAGGUGUCUGCACUAAGUUUGGCAUCAAUAUGGUGACCUUCUGGGAGCAGUGGACCACCAGGUGGCCUAAGGAGGGGUGAACCAGCCCAGGCUGGAAAUGGAGCAGGUCAAAGCUCCUAUGCUGAACAGUAGUGGGAUUGCACCUGUGAAUAGCCACUGCACUCCAGUCUGGGCAACAUAGUGAGACCCCGUCUCUA